GACGAAGGUGGCUAGCGUUGCUCGGAUUUACUGGGCAUAAAGCGCGCGUAGGUGGUCAUGUAAGCGGGGGAUGAAAGCCCAUGGCUCACCCAUGGAACUGUCCCCCGGACUGCAUGGCUCGAGGAAGGAAGGGGAGAAUGGAAUUCCCGGUGUAGCGGUGAAAUGCGUAGAUAUCGGGAGGAACGCCGGUGGCGAAAGCGAUUCUCUGGUCCUUUCCUGACACUGAUGCGCGAAAGCUAGGGGAG
rnacentral:rRNA from 1 species